rnacentral:rRNA from 1 species
GGCAGUGAUCUAUAGCUGGUCUGAGAGGAUGAUCAGCCACACUGGAACUGAGAUACGGUCCCUACUCCUACGGGAGGCAGCAGUGGGGAAUAUUGGACAAUGGGCGCAAGCCUGAUCCAGCUAUGCCGCGUGAGUGAGGAAGGCCUUAGGGUUGUAAAACUCUUUCAAUAGGGAAGA